CUCGUUGAAAAUAUAUCGAAUAUUCCCGAAGCUUCAUAGAUCGUUAAUUACGCGUUAAUUAAGCGGCGCCGUGGUGGUUUCAGCGCGCGAGUUCCCGCGCGGUUUCACAGCGCCCGAUGACACGUAAGAAUGCGGCUGCUAUAACGGUCCAUUCCAGUCAACCACCGUGCAACCUAUGAUCCGAUCAAGAGGAGGAGGAGGAGGAGGAGAGAAUGUGGAAGACGCAAGAUGGAGUUGGAAUGGAUGGAAUGACAUGGGUUAGCAGAAUCGUACGUGCGCCAAUGUUACGCGCGCUCGCGCCUGUUGACAUCCAAUUAUUAUACUUCCUCUUCGCUCCAGUCUUCUUCUUCUUAGGGGUUCCCUGUCGGCGCUGGUUAGGUCUAUUUCUAAUGCUCCUUGCGUGAUCGCGAAUUCCUCUGGGAUUGAGCUAUGCGCCGAGUCGGUUGCCGUUCUUUCUCCUCGUCGAUGAUGAUGAUGAUGAUGAUGAUGAUGAUGAUGAUGAUGAUGAUGAUAAUGAUGAUGAUGGGUAAUAAUUUAGAUUAACGAUGAAAGUAGUGUGAUGGAAGUAGCGUGUACGAAUG